rnacentral:tRNA from 1 species
AACACAAUAAAAAAAUUAAGCUUCUAACUUAUAUUACAAGCGAAUAAAUCGUUUUUGUGUUG